AUCAUGCAGUCGAGGAUGAAGCCCCUCGGGGUGGAUUAUUGUCGAACGGGUGAGAAAAAGCCCAAAAUCUGCCCUUCACUCUGGGACAAGCCCUGGAAACGGGGUCUAAUACCGGAUACGACUGCGGGAGGCAUCUCCUGCGGUGGAAAGCUCCGGCGGUGAAGGAUGAGCCCGCGGCCUAUCAGCUUGUUGGUGGGGUAAUGGCCUACCAAGGCGACGACGGGUAGCCGGCCUGAGAGGGCGACCGGCCACACUGGGACUGAGACACGGCCCAGACUCCUACGGGAGGCAGCAGUGGGGAAUAUUGCACAAUGGGCGAAAGCCUGAUGCAGCGACGCCGCGUGAGGGAUGACGGCCUUCGGGUUGUAAACCUCUUUCAGCAGGGAAGAAGCGAAAGUGACGGUACCUGCAGAAGAAGCGCCGGCUAACUACGUGCCAGCAGCCGCGGUAAUACGUAGGGCGCAAGCGUUGUCCGGAAUUAUUGGGCGUAAAGAGCUCGUAGGCGGCUUGUCACGUCGGGUGUGAAAGCCCGGGGCUUAACCCCGGUCUGCAUCCGAUACGGGCAGGCUAAAGUGUGGUAGGGGAGAUCGGAAUUCCUGGUGUAGCGGUGAAAUGCGCAGAUAUCAGGAGGAACACCGGUGGCGAAGGCCGAUCUCUGGGCCAUUACUGACGCUGAGGAGCGAAAGCGUGGGGAGCGAACAGGAUUAGAUACCCUGGUAGUCCACGCCGUAAACGUUGGGAACUAGGUGUUGGCGACUAUUCCACGUCGUCGGUGCCGCAGCUAACGCAUUAAGUUCCCGCCUGGGGAGUACGGCCGCAAGGCUAAACUCAAAGGAAUUGACGGGGCCCGCACAAGCAGCGGAGCAUGUGCUAAUUCGACGCACGCGAAGAACCUUACCAAGGCUGACAUACACGGGAAGCAUCAGAGAUGGUGCCCCUUGUGGUCGUGUACAGUGUGCAUGCUGUCCUCAGCUCGGUCGUGAGAUGU
rnacentral:rRNA from 1 species